rnacentral:lncRNA from 1 species
CUUCCCCAGCUCUGCGCAGGUACGGGAGAGCACNNNNNNNNNNNNNNNNNNNNCAGCGUGGGCAUACGGAGAGACACGGGCACCUGGACGUCAGCUCCCGGUGAAGAAAAAGAGUGAGAUGGUUCACUGCAGGGAGCACCUGAGAGGCCUUCAAAGGAGUUGCAGGGCUGGAGAAGAGCAGCUCAGAGCUCUCUGCCUUGCUCACAUCACCACAACAGCUACAGAGGGAAAACACUCCUGACACGGCAUUUCCUUUGCUGCGUCCCUGGCUGCUGUGUGAUGGGCAGGAAUAGCAGGAGAUGACACUGGUGAUUUCAAGCCUUAAUACCCAGCUCUGUGGGACCAGCUUCCAACAGCAUGGCAUACAAACUUGUUCUAAGGACUGCCAAGUAAGAUUGAAGUAACAGCCUGAUGGUGGUGAUAUUUGCAAGACCUUUUCAGAGUUCAGCAUCAGCUUCUGUCCAGAUGAAGGCUGUGAGAGGGAGGCUCUCCAGAGAAGCUGCCACUCCUGCUGUGCCCAGCAGCCCCACACGGGCAGAGGGACUGAUCCCACAGCGCUGCGCUGCUCCCUGCACCGGGGACACGGGGACACACCCUGGAAUGUGUCACAUCAGCUGGCAGCGGGGGUAGCCGGGUCACACACGGAGCCCCGGUGCCUCUGCUGUGGCCACCCUCCUCCCAGACACUGCAAGUUCAGGCUGCCUUCUGCCAGCAGAGGUACUGAAGUGAGAGCAUGAGGAGAAAAAGCUGAUGUAAUGCCUUCCAGGAAAGUGAUGAAAGAAAGAGGAAAUAAAUGUUUGGCUUUUUGUCCUCUUCUCA